AAACAAGUAACGAGUCUUGCUCAUGGCCGACGUCAAUUUGCAGACAGGUUUGCUGCUGAAAGUUUGUGGUACACUGGUCUUGGGUUCAGCCAUUGUUUGGGUAGUGAGGAGAUUUAGAAUGAGACCCAGGGAGCCUGUUCCUAGGGAUGUAGUUGUUCAUCACCAGCCAAGUCGCGGUCCAUUCGCUCCAAGUUUGACUCCAUUUAGCCUAAAAUUAGAGACCUUUCUUAGAAUGGCAAAUGUACCAUAUACGAAUGUUCACGAUAGCUUUAAGAACCGCAGCUCUAAAGGCAAAAUGACGUGGAUAGAGUACAACGGGGAAGAGAUCGCUGACUCUGAGCUUUGUAUUGACUAUAUCAAGGACAAGUUCCAGGUGGAUGUCAACUCUGAUUAUGCACCGGAACAGUUGGCGAGUGGGUUCAUGGUUCAAAAGAUGGUGGAGGACCAUUUAUAUUGGACAUUGAUACUGUAUCGGUAUGUGUAUGAGGGCGCUCUAAGACUGAGCGCCUAUCGCUCCUUCUCCUUCCUCUUUAGAUACAUGGCAAAAUGGAAGGUACUGAAGGAUUCCAAGGCACAUGGCAUAGGACGACAUAGUCAGAACGAGGUCAAAGCGCUCAUGACGCGAGAUCUCGAAAAUCUGUCCAAUUACUUAGUUCUUGCUGGGAGAAAAGCCAUCCCAAGUGGAUUGUAGUGUGUUUGGAAUGUUAUCGCAGUUCUUCUGGCAUGGGUUUGGUGAUCCAACAGAAGAGGCUAUAAAAAAAUUUCCAAAUCUAUGCCAAUAUUGUGAACGUAUGAAGACCGAGUUUUGGUCGGACUGGGACAAGUGCAUAACACACGGUGAAUCUGGAAAGACAGUCAAAUAACCGACGCUCAUUUUGUCGUUUUUUCUUGAUUUUGUUUUUUAUAACAGUAUUAGAAUAUUUAUAUCUGUCAUACCUGAAUGGAUUGACAACGAUUUACGAUUAUUUAGAAUAUUGCAUUUAAGACUGCAUGAUAUGUGUAAAUGUGUAUCAAUUGCUUUCGAUUAAAUCAUUUGAUUGCUGUAUUAAUAUGAUCCGUUUAAAAAUCCAGAUCACGUAUCUAAAUCACUGGCUCUGGGUGUUUACAGGAAUGUAAAUCUAAUCUCAAUCUCUCAUUUGCAGAAGAAUAUUCAUAAAUUACAUGUAAUGGUCGUUAGAUUUUUUUAUUUUGGAUGCAUGGACUUAAAAAUGUAUUCUAUAUUUGUACCAUGCUACGAAACGUUCAUGUAUCAGAUUGACGGUUUAUACAACUUUUGCUCUUUAUGUUCAAUCUGUAAUAAAAUAUUUUGGUAUUUG
rnacentral:sRNA from 1 species